rnacentral:ncRNA from 1 species
UUCCCAUCCGGAGCGGCUGAGAGACCUGGCUCGUUGACGUCGCAGCAACCAGCCCCACGCGGGCAAGGUGCUAAUGCCAGGAACGAUGGAGU